GACGAACGCUGGCGGCGUGCUUAACACAUGCAAGUCGAACGGAAAGGCCCUGCUUUUGUGGGGUGCUCGAGUGGCGAACGGGUGAGUAACACGUGAGUAACCUGCCCUUGACUUUGGGAUAACUUCAGGAAACUGGGGCUAAUACCGGAUAGGAGCUCCUGCUGCAUGGUGGGGGUUGGAAAGUUUCGGCGGUUGGGGAUGGACUCGCGGCUUAUCAGCUUGUUGGUGGGGUAGUGGCUUACCAAGGCUUUGACGGGUAGCCGGCCUGAGAGGGUGACCGGCCACAGGGGGACUGAGAUCCGGCCCAGUCUCCCGGGGGGGACAGGUGGGGAAAAUUUUGCACUGGGCGGGGAACCUUGACGCAAACGCGCCGCGGGGGAGAUGGGCGUUUGGGUGUUGAAACCCUUUCUCCCGUGAGCAGAGGGGGGGGAGGGGAAUGGGGAAAAAAAAACCCGGUAACUCCGC
rnacentral:rRNA from 1 species